rnacentral:rRNA from 1 species
GAGUAUAGAUUAUUAAUCUUGAAAAGCUAAGUUGCAUGGCGGUUUGAUAUCUGAUUAGAGGGACAUGUUAAUAAAAUCGAAGGACACGAAUAUCUUACUUUUUCUUGUAAUUUUCACUUUGUACACCGCCGUCUGAAGAUAAUUUUGAAAAGUUUGUAUCUUUAAUAAUAUUUAUAAUAAGUCAGGUAAAGGUGCAAGAUAUGAAUAAGUUUUAAUGUGUUAUUUUAUAAUUGUGAAUGAAAUAUAUGUAUAAAUUUAAUAGUAA